AUAUCACGUUGGAACACCUGUUCCCGUAUGAUCGCCGAAGUUAAGAAAUAUCGAGCCUGGUUAAUAGCUAAAUGGGUGACAGCUUGGGAAUACCAGAUGCUGUC